UAAUUAUAGGUCCAUGAGAAGUUGCAGAAAAAUAUUCAAGGAGGUGUCAUGUACCCUUCACCCAGUUUUCCCUGAAGGUAUUGCAGUCCCAGCAGAAGGAGGAUAUGCACUGCAGGUGUCUGAAGAUCUCAGGUGGAGGCUUCUUUGAACUUCUACCACUCAGUUACCCAGGAUACACUUUGAUUUCCGGUCUCAAACCACUUGUGUACUGUCGCCCUUGGGACCGCCUCCUGCAGUCCGGCCAGGGCCGAGCGUUGCCAUGGGGACCACAAACAGCCUGGGCCAGUAGGAGAGAGGAGGACUUUCCCCAGAGGAAGCGGCCUCACCUGUGGAGACACU